rnacentral:rRNA from 1 species
UACGAAGGGGGCUAGCGUUGCUCGGAAUCACUGGGCGUAAAGGGUGCGUAGGCGGGUCUUUAAGUCAGGGGGUGAAAUCCUGGAGCUCAACUCCAGAACUGCCUUUGAUACUGAAGAUCUUGAGUUCGGGAGAGGUGAGUGGAACUGCGAGUGUAGAGGUGAAAUUCGUAGAUAUUCGCAAGAACACCAGUGGCGAAGGCGGCUCACUGGCCCGAUACUGACGCUGAGGCACGAAGGCCAGGGGAGCAAACGGG